UACGAAGGGGGCUAGCGUUGUUCGGAAUCACUGGGCGUAAAGGGUGCGUAGGCGGGUCUUUAAGUCAGGGGUGAAAUCCUGGAGCUCAACUCCAGAACUGCCUUUGAUACUGAAGAUCUUGAGUUCGGGAGAGGUGAGUGGAACUGCGAGUGUAGAGGUGAAAUUCGUAGAUAUUCGCAAGAACACCAGUGGCGAAGGCGGCUCACUGGCCCGAUACUGACGCUGAGGCACGAAAGCUAGGGUAGCGAACGGG
rnacentral:rRNA from 1 species